ACUAUUUUGACAGAAAAAUGUGAUGAUUUUAGAAGUCAUUUAUAUAUAAUUUAUUAUAUAUUUAGUA
rnacentral:tRNA from 1 species